rnacentral:rRNA from 1 species
UACGAAGGGGACUAGCGUUGUUCGGAAUUACUGGGCGUAAAGCGCACGUAGGCGGAUUUGUAAGUCAGGGGUGAAAUCCCGGGGCUCAACCUCGGAACUGCCUUUGAUACUGCAAAUCUCGAGUCCGAUAGAGGUGGGUGGAAUUCCUAGUGUAGAGGUGAAAUUCGUAGAUAUUAGGAAGAACACCCGAGGCGAAGGCGGUUAUCUGGCAAUGCAUUGACGCUGAGGUGCGAAAGCGUGGGUAGCAAACAGG